AGUUUCGGUCUCUCCUCUCAUCGUUGACGAAUCGAAAACCUCACCGACGUGGCGGGAAUUGAAAUAUUCCUAUUGCCGGAAACGGUGACCAGCCGGAGAUUAAAACCCUAGAUCAACCAGAAGGUCACUGAAGAAUCCUACAGAUGCGAAAACAAGUUAGAGAAGACAAUUUGUUACUUUUUUUAUGUUAAUUUGUUCAAUUUCUUUUAAUAAUCAGCCUCUGCCAUUGAUUUUCGGUUUGAAAUUUACGUUUUCUAGGUUAGAUGUUCUUCCUUAGCUUGAUUGAGCACACACUCCGAUUGCCGCCUCAUCUUUUGGACCUUCCUCUCAGUGAAACCAUCAAAUGAGAGCUUGAGACUCUCUUCUUAGACAAAGCCUGGAGAUUGUUUGCGUUUUUUAUUUGUUAUUGUGAUUUCAAAGCAUUUAAGGGACUGAGAAGAAUGUGUUGUGAUGAAGGAUAUUGCGAAUUUGGGGCUGUGUAUCUUUGUUAAUGAUAUUAGGUCUAUAGCUGGCGGUUUUGUCUUUCCUGGGGAUAGUGCGUCAACCUAUACGGUAUACUUAAAUCUAAAAUUUGGUUUUCAUACUUUAUCUAUCUCGGAUUGUGGCAUGCCUACAUAUUCUGUUGUUGAAAAAGAUGAUAGGCUGAAUCAAUUUUGAUGGAUUGUCCAACUCUUUCAAUGUUUCUGCUCAUAUAAUAAUUGAAAAUCAUGGUAUCUUGGCUGGUGGAGUUUAGAUGGGUUAUGUUUCGGUUGUUUGUCAAGGAGAUUAUCACUGCAAAACUUAAAGAAUCUGACGCCAAUGGCUUAAGAAAAUCCAGGGUCUUUUUUGUUGGUCACAUUGUAUAGUGCCUCUCUUUUUUAUCUCCUGUAGCUAAAGAAGUCCAAUUUCACAAGGUUGUGCAGCACAAAGAGCAUGCUGACUGUGAAUGAAAGCUUUCCAGGGCUGGUCAUUCCGAUUCAUAGAGGCGAUAAGGUGUAUGUGAAUGUGCAGAAUGAAGCAUGCAAAACAAGUUUUUGGUGCCUCAAGAGUCAUGCUGCUACUUCAAGCACAGGAAAACUGGAGCUAAUGAAGAGCUUGGGAACUGAUUUGGCGAUUGACUACCCUAAGGAGAAGUUUGAAGAUUUGGCAAAGAAAUUCGAUGUAGUUUACAAUGCAGUUGGUAUGGAAAAAGCCAAAUGAUGACCAUGAGCAUGGAGAUGCAUACCAGGCAGCAAAAGUGGAAUUUUUCAGAGUAUUUUCCUUGGUGAGAGAGGACUUGUUUUUAUAAUUAUUUGUUGAAUUUUUGAACAUAUGAAGUUGAUAUCAUCUCAACUUUUCCUGGCAAAGCCUGAAGCUGGGAAGCUAAUUGCUGCCACCAUCACAUUUUUUAUAGGAUCUACAUCAAGUGUUAUGCUCAUAAGCCUUUUUUGUACUGGUGCCUAUGCUUUGCCUCUCAUGUUUCUUUUCAAUAAUAAAACAGACCUACUUAUGAAUGGUGUUGGCUCA